AACGAACGCUGGCGGCAUGCCUAACACAUGCAAGUCGAACGAGACCUUCGGGUCUAGUGGCGCACGGGUGCGUAACGCGUGGGAAUCUGCCCUUGGGUUCGGAAUAACAGUUGGAAACGACUGCUAAUACCGGAUGAUGACGUAAGUCCAAAGAUUUAUCGCCCCGGGAUGAGCCCGCGUAGGAUUAGCUAGUUGGUGGGGUAAAGGCCUACCAAGGCGACGAUCCUUAGCUGGUCUGAGAGGAUGAUCAGCCACACUGGGACUGAGACACGGCCCAGACUCCUACGGGAGGCAGCAGUGGGGAAUAUUGGACAAUGGGCGAAAGCCUGAUCCAGCAAUGCCGCGUGAGUGAUGAAGGCCUUAGGGUUGUAAAACUCUUUUACCCGGGAUGAUAAUGACAGUACCGGGAGAAUAAGCCCCGGCUAACUCCGUG
rnacentral:rRNA from 1 species